UACCCUUCAAAAUAACUAAAUUCUUUUUUCCACCAUUUCUCCACAUCUUCUUCUUAAUCAAACAUCUUUUUGUAUUCCAAUUUCUUUCUCUUUAUUCCGAUCAAAUUCCAUCAAUUUCAGUUUCAAGUCUUUUCGAUAAAGAGAAUACGUGAAAUUGAGUUUUCAAAGAAAAGUGAAUUUAGAGAAGAAGUAAAAAAUAAAUUUUCAAGAUUGCAUACCUUCCUCAGAUUUCUUUCUCAAUAAAAAUGAACAAAUCAAUUCAUUGGAUAUUUGGAUAUUUGGAUACAACACAAUGAAAAUGAACAAAUGAAUUCAUUGGAUAUUUGGAUACACCAGCCGCUGGCAAACACCAGCUGCUGGCAAGAUCCGCUUCGCCCGGCAACAUUCAAUGAAUUCAUUUGUUCAUUUUGCAUUCACCAAUAUUCCAAAUUGGGUAUUCAAUGGCUUGGAUAUUCAAUGCAAUUUGUUGCAUACGAGAUCUUGGAAUUUCGGUGUAUCCAAGCCAUUCAAUCAACAAAUGAAUUCAUUGGAUAUUCUCAGUGAAGCUUGCCAGUGCAUACGAGGAAUUUGAAAGUAAUGGUAUUCUCAGUGAAGCUUGCCAGUGCAUACGAUUUCUUACAGUUGUGUAUACACAGUAGUAUAGAAUUGUUGGUAUUUAUAUAUAAAAAGGG
rnacentral:lncRNA from 1 species